AUGUAUAACAUACAUGCACGCACACAUAGACAGUAUAUAACAUAUAUGUAUGCAUACACAUAUUUAACAUGCAUGUAUGUGCGCAUACACCAUGUACAACAUACAUGUAUGCAUACAACAUAUAACAUGCAUGUAUGUGUGCAUGCACAUCAAAUGACAUGCAUGUACGCAUGCACAGCAUAUGACAUACAUGCAUGUGUGCACAGCAUAUGGUAUGCAUACAUGUACUCAUGCACCGCAUGUGACAUACAUGCAUGUAUGCAUGCACAGUAUAUGACACCGUACCUCUGUGGUACCCCGUGGUUCACAUACAGGAACAGUGCGCUUCCAUUUCUCUCUUGUCAGCCUUUGUGUCAUUGCUGUCACACUUUUUUUUUUUUUUUUUUUUUUGAGACCGAGUUUUGCUCUUGUUACCCAAGCUGGAGUGCAAUGGCGCGACCUCGGCUCACCACAACCUCCGCCUCCUGGGUUCAGGCAAUUCUCCUGCCUCAGCCUCCUGAGUAGCUGGGACUACAGGCAUGCACCACCGUGCCCAGCUAAUUUUUGUAUUUUCAGUAGAGACGGGGUUUCACCAUGUUGACCAGGAUGAUCUCGAUCUCUUGACCUCGUGAUCCACCCGCCUCAGCCUCCCAAAGUGCUGGGAUUACAGGUGUGAGCCACCGCGCCCGGCCACUGAAGGUUUUCACCCUGGAUUCCUCUGGGUCGCCGUGUAUGAAUUGUCUGUUCCUUUUGAUUGUGGCAUGGUCUUGCAGGGCAUGCACGCACCACACCCUGCUUUCCGCUGCCCGGUGGACAGACGGCUGCUCGCUUCCAGUUUUCUAUAUAGCUGCUAUGAACAUUUGAGUGCAGCAUUUUGCGUGAAUGAAAGUUCAUUUAUCUGGGAUUAAUGUCCAGGAGUGCAAUUGUUGGCUGGUAGUUGCAAUUUUAGGGUUUUUUUUUUUUGUUUGUUUUUUGUUUUUGAGAUGGAGUCUUGCUCUGUUGCCAAGCUGGAGUGCAACAGGGUGAUCUCUGCUCAUGGCAACCUCCGCCUUCUGGGUUCAAGCUAUUAUCCUGCCUCAGCCUCCUGAGUAGCUGGGACUACAGGCGCGCGACCCUACACCUGGCUUUUUUUUUUUUUUUUUUUUUUAGUAGAGAUGGGGUUUCACCAUGUUGGCCAUGAUGGUCUACAUCUCCUGACCUCGUGAUCCUCCCACCUUGGCCUCCCAAAGUGCUGGGAUUACAGCGUGAGCCACCAUGCCCAGGCACAAUUUUAGUUUUUUAAAAACUGUCAAACUGCUUUCCAGAGUGGUGGUACCAUUUUACAUUUCCAUCGGUAAUGCAGGCGUGAGCCAGCCCCUGGAGUCCUCGGCAGCCUGAGGUGUUGAUUUCUUUCCCUCCCCUCCUCCCUCCCUUCCGUUCUCUUUCUCUCUCUCUCUCUCUCUCUCUGUCUCUCUCUCUCUCUCUCUCUCUCAUCUCUCUGUGUCGUCUCUCUGUCUCUGUCUCUCCUCUCCUCUCUCAUUGCCCA
rnacentral:lncRNA from 13 species